AUUGAACGCUAGCGGCAUGCCUUACACAUGCAAGUCGAACGGCAGCACGGGGCAACCUGGUGGCGAGUGGCGAACGGGUGAGUAAUGUAUCGGAACGUGCCCAGUAGCGGGGGAUAACUACGCGAAAGCGUAGCUAAUACCGCAUACGCCCUACGGGGGAAAGGGGGGGAUCGCAAGACCUCUCACUAUUGGAGCGGCCGAUAUCGGAUUAGCUAGUUGGUGAGGUAAAGGCUCACCAAGGCUUCGAUCCGUAGCUGGUUUGAGGGGACGACCAGCCACACUGGGACUGAGACACGGCCCAGACUCCUACGGGAGGCAGCAGUGGGGAAUUUUGGACAAUGGGGGCAACCCUGAUCCAGCAAUGCCGCGUGUGCGAAGAAGGCCUUCGGGUUGUAAAGCACUUUUGGCGGGAACGAAACGGUGCCGGAUAAUACCUGGCGCCACUGACGGUACCCGCAGAAUAAGCACCGGCUAACUACGUG
rnacentral:rRNA from 1 species